AUUGAACGCUGGCGGCAGGCCUAACACAUGCAAGUCGAACGAGUGGCGGACGGGUGAGUAAUGUCUGGGAAACUGCCUGAUGGAGGGGGAUAACUACUGGAAACGGUAGCUAAUACCGCAUACCAUCGGAUGUGCCCAGAUGGGAUUCGCUAGUAGGUGGGGUAACGGCUAACCUAGGCGACGAUCCCUAGCUGGUCUGAGAGGAUGACCGGCCACACGGGAACGGAGACACGGCCCAGACUCCUAGGGGGGGAAGCAGUGGGGAAUAUUGGACAAUGGGGGCAAGCCUGAUGCAGCCAUGCCGCGUGUGUGAAGAAGGUUUUCGGAUGGUAAAGCACUUUAAGUGGGGAGGCGUUACCAACAGAAUAAGCACCGGCUAACUUCGUGCCAGUCGCCGCGGUAAUAC
rnacentral:rRNA from 1 species